rnacentral:lncRNA from 1 species
AUGAGAAAGAGACAGAGCAAAACAACUAGCUGGUUGAGACUCCUUUGUGACAAAGCAGCACAGCUCUGGGGAGGUUUGUCUCUAGGAGAGUCUUUAGUAUUGUCCUUUGAGAUAAAAGUGUUGGAAGUAUCAGCUGCAGAAUGCACUGAAGUCUGGGGAAAGGAUGCUUGUGUCCCAAGGGAUGAAGGAAAGAAGAAUUGAGAAGACAGGAAAAAAAAGAACUGAAGCAUGACAUCACUUACCGAAAUCAUAACAAGCUGUUGGGACAAAGGAGUUCCAUUCCUUCCAGCCAAUGCUUUCUAAACUGAGGUUCACAUUAUGAUAUCUAAUCAACUAAAGGACAAAGUCUAAAGUUGUCACCACAAAAAAUCUCUUCUAUCCAGUAUAUUGCAGGAAAUGUUGACAGUCCGUUUGGCUGAGUCAUAUUGGUAGGUAGCUUGCAAUGCAGCUUUCCUUACUGACAGCUAUUCAACAGAGAAAUAAUGGAUUUUCAGCAUUGGUGCUGUCGCUCUGGUACCUAUUCUGAGCAGCCCUGUCACUUAAUCCUUCUGAUAGCAUCUCUGUUGACUUGAUACAAAGAUGAUGCGACUGUUACUUUGCUAACAGAUGCCAUAUUAUAAAUCUUAUUUAACUAUCAUGAGCAAUUUGAAUCCGAGGAGUUCUUUAAUUAAAACAUCUUCUAAAAUGCAGUCUCCAUGCUGUCUUUUGUUUCCUUCUUUAGUUUUUUGGAGGAUUAUCUUAAUUUCCAGUAUUUGAGGAACAAGGCUUCUAAGGUAUUGGAGAAAAUAGCUCAUAUAUUAAGGAAACUUUUGGGUAACCUAAAUCUGCACUUAUAGUGUGGAAGACCCUUCACCUCAAAAAUAUUUCUGAGUUAGCCUACAUUGGAUAAAUGAGGUUUUAAUUUCUAAUCCUCAAAUAAGCAAUUUGGUAGCCUUGAGGAUAUAGGAUGGGCAAAAAUAGGAAGAACUGCUAACCUUUAUUGUUCCAAAUCAGGGGUUCUGAAAUUUUUUUGUCAUGGAUUCCUUGACAGGCUAUUAAAGUUUAACAAUGUUUUUAAAUGCAUAAAAUGCACAGUUAAAAUGGAAAUCAAUUAUAUUGAAAUGCAAUUAUGAAAAUCUAUAUUUUAAAAUUCACCUGCACCUGGAAAUUUAUUUACAGACUCUCAUGGACCCCAGUUUAAAAACCCCUGCUCUCAAUGUUCUUUAGAUAUGUAGGUAUUAUUUGGAUUCCUAGGGCCCCAACCAAGUUAAGUACCUGAAGACUGACUUUCUACUCAUUGUCUUACUGUAACACAAUUUCAGAGCUAUGCCAUUCUAAUCUAAACAUCUCAUUUUACAGGCAAACAAGUUUAAGCCGAGAAAAUGAUGGGAUAUGGCCAUGGUCACACAGGCAGUAAGUAAAAAAAUCAGGAUUUGAAUCUGUGUUUUCUGACUCCAAAUCCCAUAAGCUUUUUAUACCUUGUUAUUACCCAGACUUCUCUUUCCUAGUGAAUGAUGCUUUUCAUUAUACUAUUUGGUCUCAAAUAUUUCCUUUCUGUCUAUACUUGUAGAAGGAAAAGAAUAGGAAAAUAUGGAAAAUACCUUAUAUAGACCCAAUCAGUUUCAGAAUAUGGCUAUGACUCAAAAGUGGGAUGUUUAUUAUUGUUCUUAUUUUGUAGUGAUUCUGUGUAAAUUUAUAUGUAUGCAUGUUCCUUACUUAUUUAGAAAGGAAGUGGGAAUUCUUUCAUUCCUAUGAUUUAGAAGCAUUCUCCCUUUACUUAGAAACGACUUUGUAACCAACUAAUUAAACAUAUAACUAUAUAUGAAAUCUUUUAACUGUAUACUCAAACAUUUAAACAAAAAGUAUGACGAUAAUAUUAAGGUAAGAAAGCGCUAGACCUAUCUAUGGAG